rnacentral:rRNA from 1 species
AUCCCGCCGGAAGUCACUGCUAUUGGGAUUCGACUAAGCCAUGCGAGUCGAGAGGGUUCGGCCCUCGGCUGACGGCUCAGUAACACGUGGAUAAUCUGCCCUAAGGUGGAGGAUAACCUCGGGAAACUGAGAAUAACACUCCAUAAGUCUAGGAGGCUGGAAUGCACUUAGGCUGAAAACUUCGGUGCCUUAGGAUGAGUCUGCGGACUAUCAGGUUGUAGUCAGGGUAAAGACCUGACUAGCCUACGACGGAUACGGGUUGUGAGAGCAAUAACCCGGAGAUGAUAUCUGAGACACGAUAUCAGGCCCUACGGGGCGCAGCAGGCGCGAAAACUUCGCACUGCGCGAAAGCGCGACGAGGGAAUCCCAAGUGUAUGCACGUAAGUGUAUACUGUUUCUCUGUCUAAAAAGCAGAGAGAGUAAGAGCUGGGUAAGACGGGUGCCAGCCGCCGCGGUAAUACCUGCAGCUCGAGUGGUGAUCGUUAUUAUUGGGCCUAAAACGUCCGUAGCCGGUCUUCUAAAUGCCUGGGUAAAUCGUAUGGCUUAACCAUACGAAUUCCGGGUAGACUGUUAGACUUGAGACCGGGAGAAGCUAGAGGUACUCCUGGGGUAGAGGUGAAAUUCUGUAAUCCUAGGGGGACGACCAGUGGCGAAGGCGUCUAGCUAGAACGGGUCUGACGGUGAGGGACGAAGCCCUGGGGCGCAAACGGGAUUAGAUACCCCGGUAGUCCGGGGUGUAAACGCUGCUUGCUUGACGUUAGUCUGGCUCCGAGCCAGAUUAGUGUCGGAGAGAAGUUGUUAAGCAAGCUGCCUGGGAAGUACGGCCGCAAGACUGAAACUUAAAGGAAUUGGCGGGGGAGCACAGCAACGGGUGGAGCGUGCGGUUUAA